UUGGAGGGCAAGUCUGGUGCCAGCAGCCGCGGUAAUUCCAGCUCCAAUAGCGUAUAUUAAAGUUGUUGCAGUUAAAAAGCUCGUAGUUGAAUUUCGGGAUCAAUGCGUCGGUCGUGCCUUCGGUACGUACUAGCGUCAUUGAUUCCUCCCUUCUGAAGAACCGUGAUGUCAUUAAUUUGGUGUUACGGGGAAUCAGGACUGUUACCUUGAAAAAAUUAGAGUGUUUAAAGCAGGCUAACGCUUGAAUACAUUAGCAUGGAAUAAUGAAAUAGGACGUUCGAACCUAUUUUGUUGGUUUCUAGGAUCGACGUAAUGAUUAAUAGGGAUAGUUGGGGGCAUUAGUAUUCAAUUGUCAGAGGUGAAAUUCUUGGAUUUAUUGAAGACUGACUACUGCGAAAGCAUUUGCCAAGGAUGUUUUCAUUAAUCAAGAACGAAAGUUAGGGGAUCGAAGACGAUCAGAUACCGUCGUAGUCUUAACCAUAAACUAUGCCGACUAGGGAUCGGAUGAUGUUAAUUUUAUAAUGACUCAUUCGGCACCUUACGGGAAAC
rnacentral:rRNA from 1 species